GUCCUAGUAGCUUAAAAUUAAAGCACUGGUCUUGUAAACCAGAAAUGAGAUCUUCCUCCUCCUAGGUCA
rnacentral:tRNA from 1 species